ACAUGGAGAGCUUUCUGUGAAGCCGGGCUGUAAGGCAUCCGGUGGAGAGAUCAGAAGCGAGAAUGUUGACAUGAGUAGCGACAAACAGGGUGAGAAACCCUGUCGCCGAAAGUCCAAGGGUUCCUGCUUAAAGCUAAUCUGAGCAGGGUAAGCCGGCCCCUAAGGCGAGGCCGAAAGGCGUAGUCGAUGGGAACCAGGUUAAUAUUCCUGGGCCAGUGGGAUGUGACGGAUCGCAGAUGUAGUUUGCCCUUAUCGGAUUGGGUGGGCUGCUGAGCGGUUCCAGGAAAUAGCCCCACAUCAGACCGUACCCUAAACCGACACAGGUGGACUGGUAGAGUAUACCAAGGCGCUUGAGAGAACCACGUUAAAGGAACUCGGCAAAAUGCCUCCGUAAGUUCGCGAGAAGGAGGCCCCAUAUGUACGCAAGUAUGUGUGGGGGGCACAAACUAGGGGGUGGCGACUGUUUACUUAAAACACAGGGCUGUGCGAAGCCGUAAGGCGACGUAUACAGUCUGACGCCUGCCCGGUGCUGGAAGAUUAAGAGGAGGGGUGCAAGCUCUGAAUUGAAGUCCCAGUAAACGGCGGCCGUAACUAUAACGGUCCUAAGGUAGCGAAAUUCCUUGUCGGGUAAGUUCCGACCUGCACGAAUGGCGUAACGAUCUCCCCGCUGUCUCUAACGUGGACUCAGCGAAAUUGAACUGUGUGUCAAGAUGCACACUACCCGCGGUUGGACGGAAAGACCCCAUGAACCUUUACUCCAGCUUUGCACUGGUAUCAGGAUUGUGAUGUGCAGGAUAGGUGGUAGGCAUUGAAGCGGGGACGCCAGUCUUCGUGGAGCCUCCCUUGAGAUACCACCCUUCGCCAUCUUGAUAUCUAACCGCGGCCCGUUAUCCGGGUCCGGGACCCUGCAUGGUGGGGAGUUUGACUGGGGCGGUCGCCUCCCAAACAGUAACGGAGGCGCGCGAUGGUUGGCUCAGACCGGUCGGAAAUCGGUCGUUGUUGCAAUGGCAGAAGCCAGCCUGACUGCAAGACUGACAAGUCGAGCAGAGACGAAAGUCAGUCAUAGUGAUCCGGUGGUCCCAAGUGGGAGGGCCAUCGCUCAACGGAUAAAAGGUACUCUGGGGAUAACAGGCUGAUGAUGCCCAAGAGUCCAUAUCGACGGCAUCGUUUGGCACCUCGAUGUCGGCUCAUCUCAUCCUGGGGCUGGAGCAGGUCCCAAGGGUAUGGCUGUUCGCCAUUUAAAGAGGUACGUGAGCUGGGUUUAGAACGUCGUGAGACAGUUCGGUCCCUAUCUGCCGUGGGUGCAGGAGACUUGAGAAGAGUUGACCCUAGUACGAGAGGACCGGGUUGAACGAACCACUGGUGGACCAGUUAUCGUGCCAACGGUAGUGCUGGGUAGCUAUGUUCGGACAGGAUAACCGCUGAAGGCAUCUAAGCGGGAAGCCCCCUUCAAAACAAGGUCUCCCUUGAGGGCCGUGGAAGACGACCACGUCGAUAGGCCAGAGGUGUAAGUGCAGCAAUGCAUUCAGCUGACUGGUACUAAUUGCCCGAUUGGCUUGAUCUG
rnacentral:rRNA from 1 species